GGCCAGGUGGCUCAGUUGGUUGGGGUAUUGUUUUGUAUACCAAAAGGUUGUGGGUUUGAUUCCCACUCAGGGCA
rnacentral:tRNA from 1 species